CGUCUCCUUUUCCUCAGUUAAUUGCAACCUCACAACGAAGCAGUAUAAAUACUUACUUUAUUCUCCUGCUUAAAGCGAAUACAAUUAAAACCAUGGACUUUCAGCGAUUCUUUACUUCAGUAAUUUUAAUCACGUUAUUAUUUAUAUCAUUAUCAUUAGGAAACGGUUUUGCGGAGUCGACCGACUUUUCUCCAACUACUGAGGGUAGUUUCAUACCGGACAAUUGGAUUUUAAUUCGUCGUGGACUAUUCGAGGAUUCAGACUUUUAAGUUAAAGAAAAUAAUGGCGAGUGCAACCCCAAAUUUCGAUUGAAUUCGGUUUCAUCCCUGGUUUACGGAUCACAGACGUAAUUUAAAGGAGGAAUAGAAAAUGGAUACCAAGCUUAUUGAUUAUGUAAUUCCUCUCCAAAUUUGUAUAAUUUUCGUGAUAUUAACAAAUGCAUAUCCGUGUAUUGCAUAGGGAGACACGAAUGUACGGAAUACAUAAUAAAGAUUUUUGUUGAAAAUA